rnacentral:lncRNA from 1 species
UGUGGAUUAGCUGAGCAUAAGGCUUUGACAAGGUCCUCUGAAUUUACUCUUUUUAUUUUCCUUAACCCUCAGGGACCUCAAUCCCUUCCCCAGCCGGUGCUUCCCGAGCAUCUCUGCACACACAGAGGAUUCCAUCAGGAACUCUCUCCUCUCUGCUGCUGGAGGAGAAUCCUUCCCCUGGGAUUACCUCCAGUGAAGCUGAGGAGAUCAAGGUCAUCUAAAGAGCUUAUUCUCUCUUUUCCCUCACUUGGAAGAAGAAUGUGAGGUAACUUCUCCAGCACAGGAUUCACUUGCACAGGGUGCUGGAGAAUCCCUUUUGCAGUCCUAAAUUCAGGGCAGAGACAGCACCAAAAGUCAUGGAGCAGAUGGAAGAGGAAAUUCCCUGGAGCUGGCAGGGCAGGGUGAAGUGGAAUUUUCUACCCCACUGCUGAGGGUUGUUUCAAUAUAGUGCUGCUGUGUUUGGCUCAGAAUGGGCCAUGCUCCACAGACAGAAGAUAAAAGGAGCAGAUUUUCUGCUCCACAUCUCUUCAGAGUGUGGAUCUCUCAGAGUUCCAGAUCUCUUCAGAGCCUUCAGCCUUCUUGGAGCCUGGCCUCAGGCCACUGCACUGUGCUGCUCCAGCUGCACUGUCCAGGAAUACAACCUGUGUGACACCACAGGACAGCUGAGUGACAAUGCAGCUCCUUGCAGAUAA